rnacentral:rRNA from 2 species
CUGAUUAGAAGCUUGCUUCUAUGACGUUAGCGGCGGACGGGUGAGUAACACGUGGGCAACCUGCCUGUAAGACUGGGAUAACUCCGGGAAACCGGAGCUAAUACCGGAUAACAUUUUCUCUUGCAUAAGAGAAAAUUGAAAGAUGGUUUCGGCUAUCACUUACAGAUGGGCCCGCGGUGCAUUAGCUAGUUGGUGAGGUAACGGCUCACCAAGGCAACGAUGCAUAGCCGACCUGAGAGGGUGAUCGGCCACACUGGGACUGAGACACGGCCCAGACUCCUACGGGAGGCAGCAGUAGGGAAUCUUCCGCAAUGGACGAAAGUCUGACGGAGCAACGCCGCGUGAGUGAUGAAGGCUUUCGGGUCGUAAAACUCUGUUGUUAGGGAAGAACAAGUACAAGAGUAACUGCUUGUACCUUGACGGUACCUAACCAGAAAGCCACGGCUAACUACGUGCCAGCAGCCGCGGUAAUACGUAGGUGGCAAGCGUUAUCCGGAAUUAUUGGGCGUAAAGCGCGCGCAGGCGGUUUCUUAAGUCUGAUGUGAAAGCCCACGGCUCAACCGUGGAGGGUCAUUGGAAACUGGGGGAACUUGAGUG